rnacentral:rRNA from 1 species
UAGCUAGUUGGUGAGGUAACGGCCCACCAAGGCGACGAUCGGUAGCCGGACUGAGAGGUUGAACGGCCACAUUGGGACUGAGACACGGCCCAGACUCCUACGGGAGGCAGCAGUGGGGAAUAUUGCACAAUGGGGGAAACCCUGAUGCAGCGACGCCGCGUGGAGGAAGAAGGUCUUCGGAUUGUAAACUCCUGUUGUUGAGGAAGAUAAUGACGGUACUCAACAAGGAAGUGACGGCUAACUACGUGCCAGCAGCCGCGGUAAAACGUAGGUCACAAGCGUUGUCCGGAAUUACUGGGUGUAAAGGGAGCGCAGGCGGGAAGACAAGUUGGAAGUGAAAUCCAUGGGCUUAACCCAUGAACUGCUUUCAAAACUGUUUUUCUUGAGUAGUGCAGAGGUAGGCGGAAUUCCCGGUGUAGCGGUGGAAUGCGUAGAUAUCGGGAGGAACACCAGUGGCGAAGGCGGCCUACUGGGCACCAACUGACGCUGAGGCUCGAAAGUGUGGGUAGCAAACAGGAUUAGAUACCCUGGUAGUCCACACCGUAAACGAUGAUUACUAGGUGUUGGAGGAUUGACCCCUUCAGUGCCGCAGUUAACACAAUAAGUAAUCCACCUGGGGAGUACGACCGCAAGGUUGAAACUCAAAGGAAUUGACGGGGGCCCGCACAAGCAGUGGAGUAUGUGGUUUAAUUCGACGCAACGCGAAGAACCUUACCAAGUCUUGACAUCCUGUGACAGACGUAGAAAUACGUUCUUCCUUCGGGACACAGAGACAGGUGGUGCAUGGUUGUCGUCAGCUCGUGUCGUGAGAUGUUGGGUUAAGUCCCGCAACGAGCGCAGCCCUUAUGGUCAGUUACUACGCAAGAGGACUCUGGCCAGACUGCCGUUGACAAAACGGAGGAAGGUGGGGAUGACGUCAAAUCAUCAUGCCCUUUAUGACUUGGGCUACACACGUACUACAAUGGCGUUAAACAAAGAGAAGCAAGACCGCGAGGUGGAGCAAAACUCAGAAACAACGUCCCAGUUCGGACUGCAGGCUGCAACUCGCCUGCACGAAGUCGGAAUUGCUAGUAAUCGUGGAUCAGCAUGCCACGGUGAAUACGUUCCCGGGCCUUGUACACACCGCCCGUCACACCAUGAGAGCCGGGGGGACCCGAAGUCGGUAGUCUAACCGCAAGGAGGACGCCGCCGAAGGUAAAACUGGUGAUUGGGGUGAAGUCGUAACAAGGUAA